rnacentral:rRNA from 1 species
CGCCCGUCGCACCUACCGAUUGAAUGAUUCGAUGAAACUUUCGGACUGUGAUCAGGACGCUCUCGGGCGACCAGGUCGUGGGAAGUUAUUUAAAUCUCAUCAUUUAGAGGAAGGUGAAGUCGUAACAAGGUUUCC